rnacentral:rRNA from 1 species
AGUGAACGCUGGCGGCAGGCCUAACACAUGCAAGUCGAGCGGCAGCGGGCUGUAGCAAUACAGUGCCGGCGAGCGGCGGACGGGUGAGGAAUACAUCGGAAUCUACCUUGUCGUGGGGGAUAACGUAGGGAAACUUACGCUAAUACCGCAUACGAACUACGGUUGAAAGCGGAGGACCGCAAGGCUUCGCGCGAUUGGAUGAGCCGAUGUCGGAUUAGCUAGUUGGCGGGGUAAUGGCCCACCAAGGCGACGAUCCGUAGCUGGUCUGAGAGGAUGAUCAGCCACACUGGAACUGAGACACGGUCCAGACUCCUACGGGAGGCAGCAGUGGGGAAUAUUGGGACAAUGGGCGCAAGCCUGAUCCAGCCAUGCCGCGUGUGUGAAGAAGGCCUUCGGGUUGU